CUGAUACAUGAGGAAGUAAAAACACCAUCUUCAACAGCAAAUUUACUCCUGUGUGAGUCAUUGACUUGUGAUUGUCAUAAACAAGGUGGCCCCAUGCCAAGAACUCCAUCAAUAUUGACCACAUGAGUUUCUGAAAAGCACUGGACUUACUUUCAAGGUCUCCAGAGUACCUGUGGGAAAUGGUCAAAGCAGAUAUUAUUGUCCUUAUACGUGAGAAAGAAAGAAAGAGAGUCCUACAAGCCUCACAGCAUAUUAAGGGAUUUCAACCCAGGAUCCUGAUUCUGUGAGGAAUGUUUUCCUCACAGGAGAAGGUGUUGUCUCCUGAGCCUCCGUAGGAAACUGCAGAGCGUCCCAGACAUCCAGGAUACUUACAGAUUUACUUGAGUGUCACCUGUGAGUGGAGUAGCCUCCGGGCGUGAGCCCUCUGGACAGCUGUUCUUCUCUCAAUCAGCAAAGAUGCUCGUGGUGUGUCAGGCCCAUGAGAGCUCGCUGGCAAAACAGAGGUAGUACUGGGUGAUGAACAUUUCUUUCUGGUUUGAGCUAUUAAAAAUAAUACUGCUAUGAGCAUUCACAUUAAAUUCUAUGAUGAACGAGAAACCUUCAUAUUCUCCCCAGUGUUGUUAUAUUUACUCACACCCAAAUAAUAAUUAUAAAAUGCUUGGCAAAGAAGAAAGCUGGAACUUUUACAGUUACAUAAGAAGGCUGACAUCCCUAAGUCACCGAAUCGGGGAGUCCAGAAGAGGAAACAUUGGGAGGAUUGGAAUCUCAGAGCAGGAGGAGGACCUGAGAGGACAGAGAGGAAGGACACCAGCCGGCUACUAUGUAGCGUGGGGAAGCUUCUGAGGAAGGUAAGUAAAAGGACUUACACUUCACCGCCAACCUGAUUCAACUAAUAUUGCUUCUCCUGGAAUGGAGGCUCUCCCGGCAGCUACAUCCCGAUCUUGUACAGUUGCUAAAAAGAGUAAAAGUAGGAUCUUGAAUAGAUAUCUGCACUAUUCAUAGCAGCGUGUUUCACAAAAGCCAAACCAUGGAAACGACCUCAGUGUCCACUGACUAAAGAAGAUGUGGCAUAUGUAUGUACAAUGGAAUAUUAUUCAGCCACAGGAAAUCCUGCUAUUUGCAACAAUGUAGAUAAACCUAGAGGACACAAUGCUAAGUGAAAUUAGCCAGAAAGAGAAAGACAAGUACUAUAUGAUCUCACUUAUAUAUGGAAUCUUAAAAAAAAGGUCAAACUCAGAAACACAGAGAGUAGGAUGGUAGAUACCAGUGAUGGAAUCAGCAGUGGAAGUUUGGGAUGGGAGAUGUUGGUUAAAGAGUAUAAGCCUUCAGUUAUAAGAUGAAUAAGCUCUGGGCAUCUAAUAGAAGGCAUAGUGACUAUAGGUAAUAAUGCUGUAUUUUGUACUGGAAAUUUGCCAAGAGUAAACAUUAAGUGAUUCAUUACACGGGAAAAAAGGUAACUGUGAGGUGAUGGAUGUGUUAACUACCCUGAUUACCUAAUUGUGGUAAUCAUUUCACAACGUAUACAUACAUCAAAUCAUCACAUGUACACUUUAAAUACAUACAGUUUUGUCAAUUAGAUCUCAAUAAAACUGGAAAAAAAGAAUAAAAAUACAUCAAAUUCUGUUCUGAUCCUCUGAUAAUACUGGAUUAGGGUUGUCUACCCUAAUGAUUUGAUUUGAUUACCUCUGUAAAGACCAUACUUCCAAAUAAGAUCACAUUCUUAUGUGAUCCUAAGGGUUAGUACACCAACAUAUCUUUUGGGGGAUAUAAUCAACCCGUAAUAACAAGAAGUUUCUGCAUCUUUUUACUUAAGAGUAUUUUUUAAAUGGAAAACUCCAUAUAAUUUUUAAAUUAUAUUUAAAUUAUUUUACCUGUUACUAGAAGGUUAGUAAUUUUUAAGUAAUCUCAGGAGCCAAAAGUUCUGAAAUAUUAUUUUGUCCUAUUCUAACUUUACUGUGUACACAGAU